rnacentral:rRNA from 1 species
CCUACGGGAGGCAGCAGUGGGGAAUAUUGCACAAUGGGCGAAAGCCUUAUGCAGCAACGCCGCGUGAGGGAUGAAGGCCUUCGGGUUGUAAACCUCUUUUAGUUGGGAAGAAGCGAAAGUGACGGUACCAACAGAAAAAGCACCGGCUAACUACGCGCCAGCAGCCGCGGUAAUACGUAGGGUGCAAGCGUUGUCCGGAAUUAUUGGGCGUAAAGAGCUCGUAGGCGGUUUGUCGCGUCUGCUGUGAAAAUCCGAGGCUCAACCUCGGACCUGCAGUGGGUACGGGCAAACUAGAGUGCGGUAGGGGAGAAGGGAAUUCCUGGUGUAGCGGUGGAAUGCGCAGAUAUCAGGAGGAACACCGAUGGCGAAGGCACUUCUCUGGGCCGUAACUGACGCUGAGGAGCGAAAGCGUGGGGAGCGAACAGGAUUAGAUACCCUGGUAGUCCACGCCGUAAACGGUGGGUGCUAGUUGUGGGCCACAUUCCACGUGGUCCGUGACGCAGCUAACGCAUUAAGCACCCCGCCUGGGGAGUACGGUCGCAAGACUAAAACUCAAAGGAAUUGACGG